rnacentral:rRNA from 1 species
CCCUUAGAUGUUCUGGGCUGCACGCGCGCUACACUGAAGCGUUCAACGAGUAUUCACCUUGCCCGGGAGGGUUGGGUAAUCUUUUGAAAACGCUUCGUGAUGGGGAUAGAUUAUUGCAAUUAUUAAUCUUCAACGAGGAAUUCCUAGUAAGCGCGAGUCAUCAGCUCGUGCUGAUUACGUCCCUGCCCUUUGUACACACCGCCCGUCGCUCCUACCAAUGGGUGAUCCGGUGAAUGACUCGGACUCUGGAAUUAGCUAUUUAUAGCUUUUAUCCGGAGGAAGUUUUGUGAACCUUAUCACUUGGAGGAAGGUGAAGUCGUAACA